rnacentral:lncRNA from 1 species
GAACAUGCAUCUAUUUUGUUAAAGGUGAACCCUAAUGCUUUAACUGUUUUCUUCCCUUCAUAUCCAGAUUUCGGAAUGAGAGCAAAAUCAAACGCCUCCUGCAAUAACUCCAAUAUGUUAGAGAUAGCCUUGUCACUGAUUUUGUGCAUGUACUUAAUGUGGUACAACCUCAUUAGAAACGACAUUUUAGUGAACUUGCACCCAAGGUAUAGCUUCUCUUCUCCAUAAGCAUCAUAAUAACGUACUCGGCACGUUCUGGAUCCACUGUUGUAGUAUUUGAUCUGGAUUUA